rnacentral:rRNA from 1 species
GAAAUGCGAUAAGUAAUGUGAAUUGCAGAAUUCAGUGAAUCAUCGAAUCUUUGAACGCACCUUGCGCCCUUUGGUAUUCCGAAGGGCAUGCCUGUUUGAGUGUCAUGAAUCUCUCAAACUCGAAAAGUUUUAUUACUUGAGAGUUUGGAUUUGGGGGUUUGCUGGCGGUAACGUUAGCUCCCCUUAAAUGCAUUAGCUUGGGUCUUGUAUGUUGGAUCCUUGGCGUGAUAAUUAUCUACGCCAUGAUGUCCCUUUAAGCCCAGCUUCUAAAUCGUCUCCUCUGUUGAGACAAUUUACUUUGACAUCUGGCCUCAAAUCAGGUAGGACUACCCGCUGAACUUAAGCAUAUCAAUAAGCGGAGGAAAAGAAACUAACAAGGAUUCCCCUAGU